rnacentral:rRNA from 1 species
GAGUUUGAUCAUGGCUCAGGAUGAACGCUAGCGGCAGGCCUAAUACAUGCAAGUCGAGGGAGAAGUUUUGUGCUUGCACAGAACAGAAACCGGCGAACGGGUGCGUAACACGUAUGCAACCUACCUAUAACUGGGGGAUAGCCCGAAGAAAUUCGGAUUAAUACCCUAUAAUAUUUACAUACCGCAUGGUAUGUAUCUUAAAACUCCGGUGGUUAUAGAUGGGCAUGCGGCUUAUUAGUUUGUUGGUGAGGUAACGGCUCACCAAGACUACGAUAAGUAGGGGGUCUGAGAGGAUGAUCCCCCACACUGGUACUGAGACACGGACCAGACUCCUACGGGAGGCAGCAGUAGGGAAUAUUGGACAAUGGACGAAAGUCUGAUCCAGCCAUGCCGCGUGCAGGAUGACGGCCCUAUGGGUUGUAAACUGCUUUUAUAUAGGAAGAAACCUUUCCACGUGUGGAAAGCUGACGGUACUAUACGAAUAAGGACCGGCUAACUCCGUGCCAGCAGCCGCGGUAAUACGGAGGGUCCAAGCGUUGUCCGGAUUUAUUGGGUUUAAAGGGUACGCAGGCGGGACUUUAAGUCAGUGGUGAAAGCCUCCAGCUUAACUGGAGAAUUGCCAUUGAAACUGAAGUUCUUGAGUAUGGAUGAGGUGGUUGGAAUAUAACAUGUAGCGGUGAAAUGCAUAGAUAUGUUAUAGAACACCAAUUGCGAAGGCAGAUCACUAAACCAUUACUGACGCUGAGGUACGAAAGCGUGGGGAGCGAACAGGAUUAGAUACCCUGGUAGUCCACGCCGUAAACGAUGUUCACUCGCUGUUGGCGAUAUAUUGUC